GUUUUUCGAAUUAUUGUUUUAGGGCCCUGAUUGUUUUUGGUAAAAAACGAUAAUCGAUCGUCUACAUAUUUCUUGACAUAUUUUAAAUAGAUACACGAUGUAAUUAUUCCAAAAUUAUGAGUUUUAUAAAAACUUACUAAGAUAAAGGCAAAAACAUUGUUGGAAUCGCUGAACUAAAUAAACCUCGGCAUUAUUUUAAAUUACAUUAAAAGUAAUUUGUGGAGGCACCAAGAACAGCUGCCUCUAACGACGCUAUAGUCAGUUAAUUAACUCAUUAGCCAAAAUAAAACAUAUUUUUAAAUUAAUAUUUUACUAUUAUCGAUAUCCACUUCAUCCUUAAAGGUAACAGCCCGAAUUUCAUCGAUAGGAAUACAAAGGGCAAGAAAGAGAUGGACGUAUUAGAAUUGCUUAAUGAAAGAAAGGGACUUUUCCAAAAGACAUCAACGAGCGUGAGCGCGGUUCACCAACCACCAAUUUAAAUAGACCCCUGUGGUAUUUCGUAAUAUAAUUAAAUCAAAGCCUAAUUUUGGUAUUGAUACUUGCCGAUGCCAUUCUUUUUGUAACUAGAUGUCCUGGAUUGUUUCCCGCACCAUUUCAUCGC